rnacentral:rRNA from 1 species
UACGAAGGGGGCUAGCGUUGUUCGGAAUCACUGGGCGUAAAGGGCGCGUAGGCGGCCGAUCAAGUCGGGGGUGAAAGCCUGUGGCUCAACCACAGAAUUGCCUUCGAUACUGUUUGGCUUGAGACCGGAAGAGGUUAGUGGAACGUGCGAGUGUAGAGGUGAAAUUCGUAGAUAUUCGCAAGAACACCAGUGGCGAAGGCGGCUG